rnacentral:tRNA from 1 species
GCGCAUGUGGUGAAAUUGGUAGACACGCUACUUUCAGGAGGUAGUGCUUCACGGCGUGUAGGUUCGAGUCCUAUCAUGCGCA